rnacentral:rRNA from 1 species
AAGGGUUAAACGGCCGCGGUACCCUGACCGUGCUAAGGUAACAUGAUAAGUCGCCCUUUAAUUGUGGGCUUGUAUGAAAGGACAAACGAAGGCUUAACUGUCUCAAUAAUAUUUAUAAAAAUUAGCCUCCAGGUGAAAAGACCUGGAUGUAACUAGAGGACAAAAAGACCCCGUAGAGCUCCGUGUUUUAGUAACAUCUAAUUUAAUUAUACUAAUAUAAAACCAAUUAACUAAAAACACUUGGCUGGGGCGGCUAUGGAAAAAAUAACUUCCACCACUUAUUUCAGAUUAACACAUCUAUUUUAAAUUAUGAUCCUUUACAAGAUCAAAGAAACUAGCUACCUCGGGGAUAACAGACUAAUCCCUUUUGAGAGUUCACAUUGACAAAGGGCUUUGGCACCUCGAUGUUGGCUUAGGGUAACCCUUAGAUCAGCAGCAGUCUAAUACGGUAGGUUUGUUCAACCUUCAAAACCCUACGUGAUCUGAG